UACGGAGGGUGCAAACGUUGCUCGGAAUCAUUGGGCGUAAAGCGCACGUAGGCGGCUCGUUAAGUCGGAUGUGAAAGCCCUCGGCUCAACCGAGGAAGUGCAUACGAAACUGGCGAGCUUGAAUAUGGAAGAGGUUCGCGGAAUUCCCGGUGUAGAGGUGAAAUUCGUAGAUAUCGGGAGGGACACCGGUGGCGAAGGCGGCGACCUGGGUCGAGACUGACGCUGAGGCGCGAAAGCGUGGGGAGCAAACAGG
rnacentral:rRNA from 1 species